CAGAAGUCAGGUCGGAUUAAGCCAUAGUACGGAAAAAACUAUGCUACCUGUGAGCCCCGUCCAAGGACGUUAAAAGAAGUCAGGCCACUACAAGUGCCAUAGCUUGAGUAAACUAUGCAGCCUGUAGCUCCACCUGAGAAGGUGUAAAAAAUCUGGGAGGCCACAAACCAUGGAAGCUGUACGCAUGGCGUAGUGGACUAGCGGUUAGAGGAGACCCCUCCCUUACAAAUCGCAGCUACAAUGGGGGCCCAAGGUGAGAUGAAGCUGUAGUCUCACUGAAAGGACUAGAG
rnacentral:lncRNA from 1 species